CUACGGGACGCAGCAGUGAGGAAUAUUGCACAAUGGGGGGAACCCUGAUGCAGCAACGCCGCGUGGAGGAUGACGCAUUUCGGUGUGUAAACUCCUUUUAUAUGUCAAGAAAAUGACGGUAGCAUAUGAAUAAGCACCGGCUAAUCCGUGCCAGCAGCCGCGGUAAUACGGAGGGUGCAAGCGUUACUCGGAAUCACUGGGCGUAAAGGACGCGUAGGCGGGUUGGAAAGUCAGGUGUGAAAUCCUACAGCUUAACUGUAGAACUGCACUUGAAACUUCUAAUCCAGAGUAUGGGAGGGGGAGAUGGAAUUAGUGGUGUAGGGGUAAAAUCCGUAGAUAUCACUAGGAAUACCUAAAGCGAAGGCGAUCUCCUGGAACAUUACUGACGCUAAGGCGUGAAAGCGUGGGGAGCAAACAGGAUUAGAUACCCCUGUAGUC
rnacentral:rRNA from 1 species